CGCACAUUGCGCCCUUUGGUAUUCCUUAGGGCAUGCCUGUUCGAGCGUCAUUUCAACCUUCAAGCCCCCCUCAUGGCUUGGUGUUGGGCGUCUGUCCCCCCCGGGACUCGCCUCAAAUGCAUUGGCAGCCGGCACGUUGGCUUCGAGCGCAGCAGAAACGCGCGCGGCGUCUGACGGUGCCUGGCUCUCCAGGAAGCCACCCCCCAAGUUUGACCUCGGAUCAGGUAGGGAUACCCGCUGAACUUAA
rnacentral:misc_RNA from 1 species